AAUAGAUACCCGGGUAGUCCAUGCCGUAAACGUUGGGAACUAGAUGUAGGGCCUGUUCCACGGGUUCUGUGUCGUAGCUAACGCAUUAAGUUCCCCGCCUGGGGAGUACGGCCGCAAGGCUAAAACUCAAAGGAAUUGACGGGGGCCCGCACAAGCGGCGGAGCAUGCGGAUUAAUUCGAUGCAACGCGAAGAACCUUACCAAGGCUUGACAUAUAGAAGAACACCGUAGAGAUACGGGACUCUUUGGACACUUCUAUACAGGUGGUGCAUGGUUGUCGUCAGCUCGUGUCGUGAGAUGUUCGGUUAAGUCCGGCAACGAGCGCAACCCUCGUCCUAUGUUGCCAGCACGUUAUGGUGGGAACUCAUGGGAUACUGCCGUGGUCAACACGGAGGAAGGUGGGGAUGACGUCAAAUCAUCAUGCCCCUUAUGUCUUGGGCUUCACGCAUGCUACAAUGGCCGGUACAAAGGGCUGCGAUACCGUAAGGUGGAGCGAAUCCCAAAAGCCGGUCUCAGUUCGGAUUGGGGUCUGCAACUCGACCCC
rnacentral:rRNA from 1 species